rnacentral:rRNA from 1 species
UACGUAGGAGGCAAGCGUUGUCCGGAUUUAUUGGGCGUAAAGAGCGUGUAGGCGGCUUUACAGGUCCGUUGUGAAAACUCGAGGCUCAACCUCGAGACGCCGGUGGAAACCGUAAAGCUAGAGUCCGGAAGAGGAGAGUGGAAUUCCUGGUGUAGCGGUGAAAUGCGCAGAUAUCAGGAAGAACACCAAUGGCGAAGGCAGCUCUCUGGGACGGUACUGACGCUGAGACGCGAAAGCGUGGGGAGCGAACAGG